GAGAAUUGAUCCAAUGACUGCUGGCGUGUAGACUGAAUUGUGAUGGAACAUCUCAUCAUACCUGCUCCUCAUUCCCUUUUCUGCCAACGAUUUAUCUUCAGAAGACAAGCAGAUGAGGAGACAAAACCUACUGAUGUGGGUACCCAAGCAGGAACCCCCCUCUUGCACCGGCGACUCACGUGAGAAGAAGAAUUCACUGAGCUGAAAUGGAGUGAGAGCUAAGAUGCUCUCAGAAUAUUCUUAAAAUGACUGUGCUGCAAAGAAGCCUGGGUGAGUAGAAGAAAAUAAAAGGAAUGGUGGAUACAAGUGAAGGUUAAAAUGAGACCCCAUUUAUCGCACUAGCUGUUGGUGAUUUGAGCGCUCCUUUCCAAGGCUCUUGAGAGUGCUACUCUAACAACACUGCCCCCUAGUGUUCUCUCGCUUUGGUGCAACUGCAGAUUUCUCAUACUUUAUGGAGAAAUAGAAGGCACCAGAUGACAGCCACCACACACUUUUGUCCCCAUUGCAAUAGGAUGCUUCUAACAAUCGUAAAAUUAUGAAACACUGAAUUCCUUAAAAGUUGUCCAUUUGUGGAUUUAUCUGACGGUAACUAUUAAAUAUUUAAAAGUACUUUAAUGAAUCUACUCAUGAUGAUUGAGUAAUCUAUUCUCUGAAUUCCACCAAAAAAUCAUUUUAUGACCAAAGUCAUAACGAACAUAUUUCUAUAGUCCUAAGCUGGCAAGAUAAAUAGAGAUCUGUUCAUAAUAUAAACAAUAUA
rnacentral:antisense_RNA from 1 species